rnacentral:lncRNA from 9 species
UAAAUGUUCCCCCCGAAUUCUGAUUAUCUGCUGAAUUUGAGAACAACUGUGACUUAUCUGACUUCUCCAAAGAUACACAGUGGUCCAGUGGCCAACCCCAAACCAAAAUGCAGGUUUCCUUAUAUAUAGUCAGUGCUCAGUAUACUGGUCUGCAUUGGGGUUUGGCCUGUGAUUUAUUUGGUAAUCCUUCACUCUGUAAGGUUUAUAAACCCUCCAUAAAAUAAGAAAGGAGAGCCCUUGAGACAGGGCAAGACAAAAUAAGAUUCUCUUGGUGUCUCGUUUCCAUUCUCUAAGUACAUUACUGCUUAGCAAAUGCAUCAACUUAAUUAAAACUAAAUGUAAUUCUAAUGCACCAAUUUGAUUUAAAAAUAAUCUUCACAGUCACCAGGACAUCAAAAUGCAAUUAAGGCUAUUUGAGGAAAGCCUCUGAUGCAUAUUAUGUUCUGAUGCUGCACUAUGUCAAGAAACCCAGAUCUUCCCGAAUGUCACUAAUGUGUUUAGCAGCCUCCCUCUCACUCAAAUGCCUUUUUCAAUUAGGUUCUGGAGAGCGUGAUCCAUGACAGUUCAGGAACAUUUACCAAAUCCCCUCCAAAUGGCCCUUUAGCCAAAUGCUUUUUCUCUGAGCUGGUCUCUGGACUUGAGAAGGUACAGGCAGUCUUGUGGAUGCCAGGCUUAAGACAAAAUCAGACUGCAAAGUUCAGGAGUCCCUUGCUACCUACCUAUGUGCCAGACUAUAAAAGACUCUGGACCAGAACUAUGGAAAUUGAGAAAUAGGUCCAGUGAAAAAUCAAGCAGUAAAUCUAAAAUUAAUGGAGCAGUUUGGCUGGCUCCUUUUUUUGUUCCCCUUAGCUUGGUUUUUUGAGGAGAUCUGAUUGGGUUGAGUGAUGGUGAUUGAUGUAAGCUUGAUUGGGGAUUCUUUUUGCCUAACAAAUGGGUAAGUAUAAGAAAUGUAAAAAUGUCCCCAAAUAGUUGCAAAGUAAAAUGGACAGUUCUAAUGAGUUAUCACAGAGUUUGGGUGUUACAAGAGGCACUAUAAUCUAGUGGAGCUAGUGCUAGAAUCAAACUCUGCCUAUAAGUGGUAAAGUCUCUCUUAACCUUCCUUCUUUCUUUGUAAAAAUGCUACUGGUCAUGCCCACUUCAUUCAUAGAACAAUGCUGUCCCCUCCAGCCUCUGUGGCUGCUCCUCAAGCCCUCCAGCAUCUCCCAUGCAUCUCUGCUCCACACUGGGCCCUGCCGUACUUUUUGGUCACUAGCUGGAGUCCAGGGGCAAGAGAAAUGGGGGGAUGUGGGUAUAAGCAGAGGGAACACUUUUACAAAGCUCUGAAUCACAUCAAAAGUCAGUGUCUGAAGCCCUUUAAGACAAGAAGUCAAAGACUAUUCCCUGCCAGAACCUAAAAGGACACUCAUUUAAAAGUACUGAUUGCUGGGUUCUCUUGUGGUGCAGUGGGAUAAGAAUCUAGCAUUGUCGCUGCACUGGAGGUCACUGCCGUGAUACAGGUUUGAUCCCUGGCCCAGGAACUUCCACAUGCUGUGGGCACAAACAAAAAAAUAAAAAUAAAAUAAAAGUACUGAUUACAAAAUCCUCUCAUUUCCCAAUGAAAAAAAUACAUUUUUAGGAGGAUAUUAGAGUUUUAAAGCCUUUAUUGUAUAUCACCAACAGUACUAAAUGCAUUCCACAUAUGCAUUUUCAUUUAAUUCCUGUAGUAACUUUGCAAAGUAGAUGUAGUUCACUGUGUAUAAAGAUAUGUAUAUAAUGCAUAGCAUGUAAUCAUGUAAAUAUAAUUGAGGUAGUUGAAUCUCAAAGAAGCACAUGUGUUUAGAAUUUUUGUUUGGGUCAGUUCCACACAUAUUUGUGCCCCUCUAGCAUAUUUCUUCUCAUUUAGCAAUGACAUUUACUGUAAUUACUAGUUUACACAUCUUUCCCCUUUGAGAUCACCACCAUCUUGAGGUCAGGAACUAUGUCUUUUUUUUAGCAUUUUUUUAGUUUAUUUUUUAUUAAAGUAUAGUUGAUUUAUAAUGUUCUGUGUAACUGUGUCUUAACCAUAAUAGCCACCAUCUUUGUGGGCUUAUCUUAAUAUGCUUCACAUAUAUUAACUCAUUGAACCCUCAAAUAAAAAUUGAGGUAGGUACCAUUAUUAUCAUCACUCGACAGAUAAGAAAACUUACGACAUAAGCAUUCAAAAAAUCCUUGAAUGUCAUCUAAUUUCCUUUGGCUCGAUAGGCAGAGAUGGAGGGAUAAAGACAGACAAAUUUCCUUUGUAGUCAAAAAUAUUCAGUACAUCCAAAGCAUUAUGGUAUAGCACAGGGAACUCUAUGCAAUAUCCUAUGAUGAGCUAUGUGGGAAAAGAAUCUGAAAUAGAAUGGACAUGUGUAUGUGUAUAACUGAAUCACUUUGCUGUAGAGCAGAAAUUACCACAACAUUGUAAACCCACUAUACUUCAAUAAAACUUUUUUAAGGUGGGGGGAAAAACCCAUUCUGAAAGCUGAGAACACCCAGAGCAUCCUGCUGUGUCUGUAGGCUUCCAUAGGCAGGCAGGAGUGAGGUCUCAGGUUGUCUCAGACAGUGGAAAAUGUAUUUCUCUGAAGCGGUGACCUCCUGGAAAGGAUGUUGCUGUGUUCACCCCUAGAAAUCUGUGCUUUAUGUGGGGAACAGAGAGAGGUGGGCUGGGAGCCUCAGGACAGCUCACAAUCCACCCUCCAGGAGCUCCCACCCAUGGAAGACUAAACCAUCUUCAUACCAUCUUGCAGAAGGGUUCCCUAUAGAUGGCCAGGCUCGCUUGCAUCAUUCAUAUGCUCUGUACACUGUGCCCUCUGAGUUCCUGAGACCAGUUUGCCUGGUGGAGGGUGAGAUGAGUUGUUAUGUCCAACUGGAAAAUUAAGAAAUGAAGGAGGCCGAGGACUGCUGGAAACGACCCCAGAUAGCAGCCAUCAAGUUCACAUGCACAUAGACAUAAAUACUUACAAGUAAACCCUGUCCUCCUCAUCAUGGUUGUGUAGUUAGCUUUUGUUAUUUUAUUCCUACUCUUGUUGAUAGCCUAUAGUUCCCUCAUCAUUUCAAGAUGUUCCAUAAAUCAUGAUAUAACCAACCUGAAAAUCUUCCUCUGGGUUUAAGACCAAUUUUAUUGAACAAACAAAAAGAAUAGGCCAGCUAAGGUGUUCUGUCUGCUUCCAAAUAGGAAAUUCAUGCUUGUAUUGUUUCUGAAGUACAUUAAACUUUCUAUCAAUGUGUUUAAUUAUGGGUUACAAUAUACAGAAUUUUUACCUAAACUUAGGAUAAUCAAUUGAAUUAAGCAAAGGUAACCUCUUUUUAAGUACUUGGGAGCCUUAUGAGUUCAUCUCCAGAAUUUGUAAAUAAAGAUAGUGUUAAAUCAUAAAAUCUAUGCAUAAAGGAACAUGAAGUCACCUGAAAGAAAGAAAAUACCUUUUAGACCAGAACAGGACUUUCUUCGCGCCUGGAGUGUGAUAAUGCAAAAUAAGAAAGAAUUGUUUCAUGGAAAAGGGCCUGGUCAGCCACAGAGGCAUGAAACAGCUGUAGGCAGAGAGCCAUUCAUUUAUUGGCAGUUUCCAUCCUAGAACCAACCAAAAGGAAGAAGAAUUUUAAGCAUUAUGCUUCCAUUCCUCCAGGAUCAAUGGCAAGGCUCUCCCUUCCUAGAGUAUGUGGGCAGAAUGUUGAGUGUAGUUCUUUGAUGACAGAAUGUAGCACACUGACAGCACAGGUAGGAAAAGAGAACCAAGUGGAGUGCAGUUAGAAGUGAACUCACAGUUGAGAGUUAAAGGCUGCCACACGGGGUCACAUGGGGCCACACAGAGCAACCAGGAAGUCAGGGGAAUAGCAGCUGGAGCUGUAGGGGCAGCUUAUGUAUGGGCAGCAGCUGGAGUUAGUGAGGUUUCCCAGGCUCCCUGUGGAUUAACUAAUUUGAAUAAUUACACAGGCUCCAAGGCAUAGAGGCUGUCCCUCGUUGUCUGGUACCUGGCCCCAGAGCACUUAGGGAUGGAGCUGGUUCAUGGUGCUCCCAGGGCAUUCAAGCCCAAUAAGGAAAGUGCUGUGGAGUGUUGAUGUAAUCAUCUAUUUAAGGGGAACUGAUCAAUCUCUUCUCAGAGUUUCAAGACUGAGUCAAGACAUAAUUUUAAAAUAAAUGACAAAUAUUAUAUUACACAGAGUGGUUUCAUCUGGCAUGUGUACUCUGAUCGACUGCCUGUAUCCCAGCGUGGGAAAGGAUGCAGAGAUUGCUAGGCAAAGCCAAGCAGGGUCACUUGGGCAGUGAAAACAAUCCUCCAAGCCACAGGUUUGUUAACCCAAGUGUUAGAGAGUUGCUGCCUUGGAUUCAAGAGCUGCCCUAGAGCAAGAUCCUCCCCAAAGUGAAAAAGAGACAUUAGCUGUCUCUGCCUGAUGAUUAGAGUAUUUAAAUCCUAUCACUGAAAUCUGGUAUCAGUGGAUAUCAGAAUAAGAUGAUAUCUACUCUUCUAUGACUGCAUCCUGUUUAUUUCCUCCAUAGCCCUGAAGAGUUCCCGUCGUGGUGCAGUGGGUAAGGAAUCCAACUAGGAACCAUGAGGUUGCGGGUUCGAUCCCUGCCCUUGCUCAGUGGGUUUACGAUCCGGCAUUGCCGUGAGCUGUGGUGUAGGUCGCAGAUGCGGCUCGGAUCUUUCGUUGCUGUGACUGUGGCUGUGGCGUAGGCCAGCAGCUACAGCUCUGAUUAGACCCCUAGCCUGGGAACCUCCA